UUACUUCUUAUAUAUUGUGGGUGGUUUGUGAAGAAUAAUUUUAGAUUAUUAUUCAUUUUUCUUAGCUUUUUAGACAAGAUAGAAUUUCUGCAACUCAAAAUACAUAAGAAAUACAUUUAAAAUUAUGGUGUCUCCAAUGAAUUUUGUACCAAUUGAACGUGAAAGGCUGUUUGAGCAUAAGGCGUUUGUUCCUUAAGAUAAGUGAUACGCCCAACCUCUACAAGGAUUCUACGCGCGCACGUAUAAGUUUUCCACUUACGUCACAUGCUGUAACGCGAAAUUAACUACUAAAUUCGUGAAUAAAUAUUCACAAUUACUUUUCCCAAAGACGUGAAUGGGCAACAUCGUCGCAAGGUUAAUAGAUAUCAUGGGUCAAUAUCGGUAAGAAGUUUGGUUUGCUUCGUAUAAAGCUAUUCGUCCCUGAAGAAGUUCGAACGAGAGAAGAAAAAUAUACUCUUACAGUUGUUAUUGUAUUAAUAGAAACGGUCGUUUCAGACGGUUUCUCUCUUCAACGCUGGUAUCUGGAAUAUUUGGAAUUCUUUUUUAAUGUUCGCGAUACAUGAAACAAGAGCUUGCUUGUGCUGAUCGACUUUACUAGCGGUUCUUUUUAACCGACUUCGAAAAAAGGAGGAAGUAACUCAAUUGGAUACGUAUUUUUUUUUUUUAUUGUGUCUGUUCCCCGAUUACGCAGAGAUGGCUUGACCAAUCGGGAUGAAACCUCUUGCAUCUUGUAGAGCAUGUCUCCCAGUUGGUCCCGUUAUCAAGACAUUUUGUGAUUUGUAAUUUUUUACCCAAUUUUUUUUGCAAAAAAAACCGAAAAAUAUUUUCACGUAUGUUCGGCCUGAGAAAUAUCGAUUGAAACAUCUGGGUUACGUAAAAUAAAAGACAGCCACCUACUGAUUCACGAAGGAGCACGCGGUUGAACAGUUAGCUGAACGCGAACGACAUAAAUAGUAGUCCACGCGGUGAAACUCGGGGUACAGCUUCUCUGAAACAACUAAACCGAUUUUGACAAGACUUUCAUUGUUAAUAACUGAUGAUUUUAUGAUGUUCCCAUUUGGAAAAAUUUAUGAAUUUCUUAAUGUUUAAUAAUAAUGUUUAAUAACAAUUUCUACUGCAAAAUUCCUAUUCUUUGGUGUAACUCGGCAAGAAAUAACCGAUCGAGAUGGAACCUUGCACAUUUAAGGAAAGCUGAUUUCAUGAUGUUCGAAUUUGCAAAAAAUUAAUGACUUUUAAACAUUUAUAACUACUGUUAUUGCAAAAUUCCUAUUCUUUGAUGUAACUGGUCAAGGAAUUAACCGAUCAAGAUGGAAUCUUUCUUUUCAAUGGCUGAUAAUUCCAUGAUGUUCGAAUUUGCAAAAACGUAUGGACAUUUUAUUAAAUGUUUAUAACUAUUGUUAUUACAAAAUUCCUAUUCUUUUAUGUAUCUCGACAAGGAAUUUACCGAUCGCGAUGAAUUCUUUCACAUUAGUAACAGAUGUUUUCGUGAUGUUCCCGUUUGCAAAAGUUUAUGGACACUUUUAUUGUUUAAUACCAUUGUUGCUUCAAAAUUUAUAUUCUCUGGUGUAGCUCAGCAAGGAAUUUACCUAUCGCAAUGAAUCCUUUCGCAUUGAGUUGCACGCGUAUUCCUAAUGAUCCCAUUUCCAACAAUAUACAUAUUGUCCAUAACUAUUGUUAUUGCAUGAAGCAUAUUGGUUACAGAUUGGCCCUAAAAUGGUGAAGUAAAUAAAUUUUUGGUGAAGUAAUUUAAUUUAAAUAUAUAACCUACUCCGAAAAACAUUAAAAUUACACUAAAAAGUAUGAAAUAAUUUCUAUUUGAAUGCAAAACUCUUUUCAAUGCAACCUUUUCAGAGGCGGCGCAACAUUCAAAAUUUUUAAUUCCGGUUUGAAUUAGUUUUUGGUGAUGGUGGCAAUAUUGAAUGCUGUUAACGUACACAUGAAUACCGUCUACGUGGAAGUACUGUCUGAGACGGUUUGAUGUAUUUGUUUUGGCGAAGGACGGGGCCAAUAUUGCAUACAGUUAAUGUAUAUACGAUUGAAUAGUGUUAAUGUAUAUGAUGUCUAAAGCAGAUAUAAUAAUAGCAAUAAUUAAAGACUCAAUUUUUGGUUCCUCUGACCGAAAGUUAAACCAAGAUUGGUAAUUUUGAAUGUAGGUAAUUUUUAAUUUUGCGCUGCCUCCGAAAAGGCUGCAUUGUAUUUAAUAUACUGUAUUUAAUAAUUUAAUCAAAUUCAUCAAGAGCUGGUGAGUAGUAAUACGGUUCAAAUAGAAAUUACUUCAUACUUUUAAGUGCAGUUUUAAUGUUUUUCGAAGUCGGUUAUAUUUUUUUCCAAAAAUUAAUUUCUAGGUAGAUGCUAAUGGAAAUUUCUUUUAACGUAUAUUAUUUGAAUGUAAAUUUUAAUGCAUAUUGUUUUAAUACAAAUCUUGAUGUACAUUAUAUUAACGCAUAUUUUAAUAUAUAUUGUUUUAAUGUCACUGUUUAGAAUUACUUAUUUUAAAACUAGUCUAGUUGAUGUUACGUCAAGAGCGUACAUUAUUGAUAACAAUUUAUGCGAUAACUUGAACUUUUUCUGGAACACUGGAAAUUUAUUCAUUUAUUGAAACAUGCUAAUGUAGAUUAAAUUUAACGUAUACUAUUUUAAUACAAAUUUUAAUGUAUAUUUUUUUAAUGUUACUGUUUAGUGUCGGGGUUACACCGAGUGUACAUUGUUGACAGUAAUUAUUACUACUAUUACACAUUGUUUGUUUGUCUACAUUUGACAAUCUAAAUAAUGAAGUAUUCCCUAGUCCUUAACAAUCAAAUAUUCCUCAUGAAUUUUAUACACUAAUACCUAUUAUUCCAUUCGUAAUAAAAUAAUAUUAUUAAUAAUGACACGUCAAGAAUGAAUACUGCUGGUUAUUCCUGGUAAUUCCCCAGAGAACAGCGCAACGUGUUGCGCACACCAGUUACGUGCAAUUAAAAAUUCACGACGUAAGCGGACGAUUGAUAACGCAACCGCCACAAGGACGAAGUUCUAUGACUUGCAGAACUCUAGGAAAUACGCAGCCAACAAUCUACAUACGUCCGUAGUCGCGAAUCGGUCGCCGAUAACGCAGUUAGUAUACACCGAGCAACGUAAAACCCCUUUCGACUCGCGGUGCGCGAAUCGGUAAACAAGUCGAACCGUUUACGUUCAACGACACGACGAAAGCAGCAGACUGGCAAAACACACAACGUCGCUGGAAAAUCCUGUCUAUCGAUUGCGAAUCGACCGUUGAUAAUACACGUGGCGUGGUUCGCGCACGAGAGGUCGAGGGUAGCCGUUUCCCAUCAAAGUCCCAGCGAAGUCGAGCACGGAGUAUCACCACACUUUAUAGUAAGAGUUAAAUCGAAAAAUGAGGGUAUGAGGAUUUGCACUCGGGACCCAUAGAUUAUGAGUCGAGUACUUUCUUUACUGAACCAUCGGCUCACACUAUCAGUCGUGUUUUUAUUUGACUCAUUAUACUAUAGAGGACGUUGGUUAUUUCUUUACAUGGAUAAAGCGUAAGUGUUCUGUACCUUCCCUUCCCUUCCCUUCUCUAAUAAGGAAUAUUUGAUUGAUACAAGGACUAUAGAAUAUUUCAUUAUUUAGUUGUUUAAGUAUAGAAAAAUAAACAGCGUGUAUAAUAACAGGCAAUGUAUGAAUAAAUUUUCAGAGCCCUAGACAAAAUUUACGUUAUUCCAUAAGUUAUUAUCAAUAAUGUGCACUCUUGGUGUAACAUCCACACUUGAAAUACUAAUUUCAAAAUAAAUUCAGAAUAGGUCAAAACGACCAUGCUCUGUAAACUUAUUGCGAGACGAAUUCCUCGAUUAGCGAAGCUACUCGAGUCUAGUAUCGUUUUGUCUGAAACGCCUAGUUUCCAUUGAAUUAUUAACUCGUUGCCUUAUAACGCUGCGUUAUUUUAGUGACUCGGAUUACGAUCCAAGUGUGACGAACACGAGUCGUAUUCGCAACUCAUAGCAAUGUACCAAUUUUGCUGUCGUCGACAUUCAACGUUUGCAACGGUUGAACGUACACAACGAGUAUAUACAUUAAUGGAUUUCGUCAUAAUCUUCUGCUCUACGACUUACGGAAUAUUAAAUAAUUCUAGGAAUAAUAAUCAGAGGAUAGGGCAUUUUUCCACAAACGAGAUAAGGUGACAGAAUUAAGGCAAUCAACUCUUAAGAAGAUACAGUGGGUGUAGAAAGUAUUCGUACACCGAUCAAUUUCCAAAGAAACUGUGUAAAAUUGUAAUUUAUUAACUUAUAUUUUAUAAACAAUGCCAUUCUACAUGUUCUAGGAAAUCUCUAGAAUAGAUAGAUUACAACAAAAAUAGCUAUUUAUGUAAGUUGCGAAAUUAACAAGAAAAAAAACAAUUAAGCGAUAGAAAUAUUGAAGCAAUAAGUAUUCGCACAACUGUUUAAAAGUACUUUACUGGAAAUUUGAUGUUUUCUAAUUCUUACGGAGCAAUAAACAAAUGUGUUUACGUUACAAACUCUGCUGUAAAUGGUUCGUCAUAAGAAUCGUACAAAUACUUAUUGCUUCUAUACUUUUACCCACUUUUCGCAAUUUUUUAUUAAUUUCACAAAUUAUAUUAACUAGUAAAUGUUGUUUGGACUAUAUCUAUCUUAGAGACUUCCGAGAAUAUGUAAAAUAUCAUUGAUUAUAAAAAAAGAAGUUAAGAAACUACAAUUUCACACAAAACUAUGUUGGUAAAUUGAUCGGUGUACGAAUACAUUCUACACCCACUGUAUAUGUAUAGUAGAACAAGUACCUUUUGAAACCGAAUUGGUGGCAAUCGAUAGUUUCGAUAACUGCGAUUCUCAAUUUAGUGGAAUAAUACUCUUGUUGCGUAAUCGCUAGGGCUUAGCCAAUUUGACCCCUAAUCGAGAAAACAGAUUAAGUACGUCGUAUUUUAUCUAACCGAAUAUGCGAUUAGGUUUGCUAUAAAAUUUUGAUCAGAACGAUUCGCGAUUAUAAUUUCUAUAUAUUUGUAUUCUACUAUCUUUUUAUUAUUUAUAAAUCAAUCUCUUUAUCUAUAAAAAUGCAUUUGUCUAAUAACAAUAUACAGACUAAACGAAAAACUGGGGGCGCCAGGAUUCGAACUUGAGUUCUCCAGAUUCAUAGUCAACGCUUUUCCCCACGGGACCAUUCCGCAUCCUACUAGUCGUUGUUCUUACUGAACUUCUUAUUACUGACAAUGAGUAUGAGGGGGGGGGGGGGGGCCACGAUACUACAUCAUCUAAUUGAAUAAAUAACUGAAUUUAGAUGAUUACUUGAAUUUUAUAAAAAAAAUUAUUCUGAUGACUUAUUACAAGGCUAAGGAUUUUAAAGAUGAGAGUUCAACACAAUUCACGAAUGAUUCAACACACGAAUCGUCUCGUGGCGAGCACAUCGAAGACUAUACUUCGUUAUUAACGCGUUUUAUCGAUUCCACGUGGACGUACCGCGGGUUUCUACGUUGCUUCAGGUGAGAUGCAGCGCAUAUCUUCCGACUGGUUGUCCAUGUAUGCCACGGUGCUACGAUUCAAGGCCGUUAUUGACAAUCUAUGACCUACUAUUAUUUUCAAACGUGAUGGAGACAUUUACGCGAAAAAAGAAAAACGAACGCAAGUUCACCGUUAAAGGAUUUUCCAAGAGGAGCUUCAGGAUUUUGUUUUUUUAGCAACACCUGGAAGCAUAGUCGACAUAUUAAUGUAAAUUAAAUAAAUAUAAAUAUGCUACAUAAAUAUAAUAUAUAAAUUAGAUAUAUUUUAUACCAUUCGUGUUUUAUCAAAAAAUAAAAUCAUGAAGCUUCUUUAUAAUUAUAUUUCCCCUCUUGAGAAAUCCUUUAUAAUUCUUCGAUCACGAUUUUCAAAAUAUCAUUUUGCAAGCAAUGACUGGGAUCAAACGUUUCUCCGAGGAACUUGAUCGAACAACGUGUACCAUAGUGCGAUUAUAAGGCUUAUCUCGCUUUUAUCGAACAAGGAGCUUAAGGUUUCGUUACUGUCGUUUUAUGUGAUCGACGGUAUUUUAUUUAUUUAUACUCAUUCGUAUUUAUAUUUAAACUGUAUUACUCUUAAACGUGAUAAUGUUUAGUUUAUCUCCUGAAAGCAACCAGCGAACGAUCAACAAAUUCCAAAAAAUAAAUAAAAUUAUGCUCCGAUUACCAAUGUCAUUCUACAUUACCAAGAAAUCUAUAUUGAUUCAAUGUUAUUUCCGUAGCUAGUGUUAACCAACAGGCUACCUUUGAAAUAACAUUGUUUGAAAUAUGAAAUAAAUUUGCAAGGUCAGAUAUUUCUGUAACAAUAUACGUUCCUCAAAUUUCCAAUACUUUUGGGUUCAUUUAAUGAUACCAAAGCCCAAAAAGUGUAUUUCCAGAAUUUUUGUUUGUUCACCCAGUACUUAAUACUUUGUAUGCGAUAAACAAAAAUAAAACCGAAACAAAAAAUAUUAAUUUAUUCACACGCUCCAAUUAGCACUACAUAAACAAAGAUGUACCGUAUACUUUCUAAUGUAGUAGGGUAUACUCAAUUUUAACAAAUUGUAUCCGAUAUUAGUCUGUAAAUAACGUAUGAACCUAUUUCACGGUUAUUUAAUUUUUUAUCUACAAUUACGCAAUCAUAUUUGAUAAAAUACCAACAGAAAUAACAAUUUUGUGUAAUCAAAAUAGUCUGAAAAUACUCUGGGAAAGUGUCUAACGUACGCCACCAAAAAUAUUGAGUUGAUUCAUAAAUAACUUUCAUUGCAUUUACAAUUUUUAAUUUACCUGCUAAAUAAGAGCAAGUGACCAAUGAUGGUGAUUACAUAAUUGAUUAAGCUUCGUUACGUAGUAAUGUAUUUAGAUAUAAAUUUUAAGUUAUAAAACGGAAGUUAUUUGUGAAUCAAGCCAAUAUUUCCAAAUUUUUCAAUAAAAGAAAUUAAAAAUGUAGUUAUAACCGAGUUCGAUGGUACUAUAUGUGCAUAGAAGGUGCUUCUUUCUGAUGCUCCAAGACCUCCCUUCUAACGUCAUAAUUGUAUUAUAACAGAAAUAUUCACGGUUCCGACUGAUGUAAUAAAAUUCUAUAGAACAUCGAGGAGGAUGAUUCAAAGUAUUUCGCUGAUGCGGGCCAUUAAGGAAACUUCGAACACGUGUACCAGACGACUGGCAUUGGAAUCGAGAGUGGUAGGGAUAAACAACAUGCGUCGUGUAUAAACCAAUGCUAGCGCGUAGUUCGAUAAAGUCACUUUUACUGCGCUACUCGACUCCGUCAGGCGGAUAGAUCCAUGAUAUAUGUAUAUGUAUGUAUAGGAAACUCGACUAACCGAAGUCGGCUACAAACGACUACUUCGUAGCUCGUGUGGCUUCUUCGCGCACCGAGAAGAGGUACAAACGCGUAAUUCCUGCGUUAGGCAAGUCUCGUAACGUUACAUUUGUUGUACAGAUAGCAGCAUAACGUAUCGCGUAACGUUUAAUUAAAUAUGUACACACAACGGAAACGGUGUUCUGCUUCUGAUACGUUACAAUGGUAAAUAAGCAUUCCAUCAGUAUCUUAAUAGAUUCAGUAUCCCCCGAAUCCAAAAAUAUCCAGUCAACUUUUACACACUGACUACGUUAAAAACAAUGGGCCAAAUAAGCCAAUGGAUGCAUUAAAUAUACUGCACGUACAAGCCAAGGACACAGAAAAGUGACAACGAUGCUGUGUUUACUUACCGUUGAGACCAUACUUCUCCUGGUUCCUCUUGACCUGAUCAACGGACAAUCCUUU